GAGAACAACCCCAAUCAGGAGGCCACAGGGCAUCCCUCUUUCGCCAAGCAUUCUUUGCAGGACCCCCAGGAAGGGGGUGUUGAGCCCCCCCAGGUCUGGAGAUGGACGGGCGGGCACUAAGCAGGGUUCUCGGUCCCCAAAGAUGCAGCUGGCUCCGGAGACCCUCGCGCUUUCACCUCCUCCUGUCACGCUCAGGGCACUUAGCCGUCCCAGGUCCCCUGGGGCGCAGAGGCAAGGUGGACGAACCUUGACACGGUUGUCGCUUUACAGAAAUUGAGCCAGAUGGAAUAGAGUUCGGACUUAGAGAUGGAGAAAAUGCAUGUUUAUGCUUUAAUAUAGUUACGUAUUUAGAUGUUCUGUGUUUCUAAUGCACGUAAAUGGCACAAAGGCCGCCCGCCUAACACGCCCGGCGCGUGGUCCUCGCCCGCCGGAUGUUGAUGGCGUCGCCUAGCAACGGGAAAUGGCGGAGCAGGGCGACUCGGCCGGCGGGUCUCAUCUGGAAGGUGAAUCAUCUUCUGAAGAAGAGGACCAGAAUAAUGCAAGGGACGGGGUAUCAGCAGUAGAGGAAAGCAGCGACCAGAGAAAUGAAGAAGCUGAGGGUCCUACAGAGCAUUCCAGAAGGGAAAUUGAAAAUGACGGGGAAGUCACAGCCCAGGGGGAGGGUGAAGACGAUGAAGCUGAAAUCCAAGGGGUAAUGGAUUCGGAAGAGGAAUUUGAAUCUGAGGGGAAAUUAGAAUCUGAUAUGGAAGGCAUGGCCCCUGGAGGGAAAGUCAGUUCUUCAGAUCUGGCUUCUCAAGCUUCGGUCCUGGGGAGGUGCCCGGAGAUGGAGUCGGCCCCCCAUACCCGCCUGAAAGAGCAAGGAAGAAAUCUCAUCUCGAAGACGGAGCGGCCCCACGCUCAUCCACAUCCAGAGGAGCGGGGGUCAUCUCCACAGAGCUCUCCCAGCAAGUGCCAGGCUCAUCUGAGCAAAUGGACCAGGAGUCAUUGCAGGGAGCGCUCCAGCAGAAGGUCUUCCCUCUGGGGGCUCAGCACCGCCAGAGCCCAGGGAGCAGCUACACAUCCCUGGACUUUGAUGAACAGCCUCCGGGCACGGAGGGCCCCGCCGCACAGGAGCCAGAGUCUGACGGCGGCACCAGCGAAGGAGCCACACCUUCGUUCCUGGACAGGAUCCAGCAGCUAAGCAUGGCGGAGGAAGGGGGCCUGGUGGAGAGGAUGGAGUCCGAGGGUAGUGAUGAGGCUGAAGAAGACAGGUCCCAACUGGUGGUUUUGGACCCAGACCACCCUCUGAUGAUAAGAUUCCAGGCUGCCCUGAAGAACUACCUUAACCGGCAGAUAGAGAACGUGAAGCUGGAGCUUCAAGAGCUGGGCGUGGCCACCAAGCAAAGCCGAGUCCAGCGGCAGGAGCUGGGGGUGGACCUCUACGGGGUCCAGCAGCACCUGGCCCGCCUACAGAUGCAGCUGGAGAAGAACCAUGACCGCCACUCGAUCGCCGCCUGCGCCAGGCGGCAGAAGGAGGAGGAGCUUCAGAGCGUGCGCUUGCUCUACGCCCGGACCUGCGAGACUGCCAACGAGGAGCGCAAAAAGUUGGCGGCUCUGCAGACGGAGAUGGAGACCCUGGCUCUGCAUCUCUUCUACAUGCAGAACAUGGACCAGGACGUGCGGGAUGACAUCCUCAUAAUGAAGCACGUUGUGAAGAAGUCAGAGGCUGAGCGCUCUCGGGCCGAGUUGGAGAAGCAGCAGCAGGACCUGCACGUGGACCAGCUCACCACCCGAGCCAACCAGCUGGAAGAACAAACCGCGCUGUUCGAGGCUCAGUACCACGCGCAGGUUGAGGACACCCGGAUGCUCAGGAAAGCAGUGAACGAGGCCUGCAUGGAAAUUGACACCAUCAACGUGGAGAAAAAGCGCAUCCUGCAGCAGUGGGCCACCAGCCUGGUGGGCAUGAAGCACCGCGAUGAGGCUCACAAGACCAUCCAGGAGGCGCUCAGCGAAUGCCAGCAUCAAGCCAAGUCCAUGGACGGUGAGCUCGAAGCCUAUAAGAAAUCCAUCGUGAAGGAGGAAGAAAAGAACGAGAAACUGGCCAGCAUCCUGAAUCGGGCAGAGACGGAAGCCAGCCUGAUGCAGAAACUGACGGCGCAGUGCCUGGCCAAGGAGGAGGCCCUGCAGAACGAGUUCAGCACCUACAGGCUCACCCUGCUGGACACAGAGGACGCGCUGGGCAAGGCCCAAAUGGAAUACGCAGCCACCAUGGGCGAAUUGCAGACUCUCCACCAGACCAUCCAGCACGAGCUGGAGCUGAGGAGGAAGAUGGAGGCCUCCAUUGUGGAGAAGCUGCAGGAACACAUGACCUCCAACAAGAUGACCAAGUACUUCCACCAGCUCAUCCUGAAGCUCCAGAAGGAAAAGACCAACCUGGUGACACAUCUUUCCAAAAUUGACGGCGACAUUGCUCAGGCCACCCUGGACAUGACAAACACCAGCUGCAGGCUGGACAGGCAUCAGAAGACGCUGGCCGAGCUGGACGAGGAAGUGAAAAAAGUCAACGACCUCAUCGCCAACAGCGAAAAUGAAAUCUCCAGGCGCACGAUCCUGAUUGAGAGAAGACAAGGCCUCAUCAACUUUUCCAACAAGCAGCUGGAGCAGAUGGUUUCUGAGCUUGGGGGGGAAGAAGUGGGGCCCCUGGAGCUGGAGAUCAAGAGGCUGACCAAGCUGACGGAGGAGCUCAGCGCCAGUGUGACCAGGGCCCAGGUGACCUGGCUCCGGCUGCAGCAGGAGAUGGUGAGGGCCACACAGGAGCGGGAGGAGCAGCUGGCCUCCCUGGACAUGUCCAAGAAGGAGAUGCACAUCCUGGAGCAGAAGAAGAUACGAACAGAGAGUGAGCGCCCCUGCACAGCGUCCCCUCCACGGCCCUGGCCGGGGCGUCCUGGUCCCACCGGACAAGAUCGACCAGGAGAAGAAGGAGCAGAAGGAGAUCCAGCGCCACAUGAGGAACCUGGACAGCGACCUGAAGAAGCUCAACGUGCUGAUGAACAGGAGCCGGUGCAGCUCGGAGGACCUGCAGCAGGAAAACCUGGCGACGGAGAACGAGUUCCUGCGAGCGCUCAAGGCCUCGGAGCGCGAGACCAUCGAGCUGCAGGAGAAGCUGAACCAGCUCAGCGAGGAGAAGGCGGCCGUGCUCAACAGCCUGGUGGAGGCCGAGUGAGUCCCGGGCACCCCGAGGGUCGCUGCCCUGCGCAGCCAUGUGCGGCCACCCACCGCACACCAGAUCAUGCUUUGGGAGAAAAAGAUCCAACUGGCGAAAGAGAUGCGUGCCUCCGUGGACUCGGAGACGGGGCAGACGGAGAUCCGGGCGAUGAAGGCCGAGGUCCAAAGGAUGAAGCUGCAGAAGAUACUGUGGAUAUAACAUAAUCAAAAGGAACGGCCCCAGAGUGAUGUGGCAGUUCAGAGCCAGGCUGCUGCGUGUGGUCAUGACACGCGAUCCAGUGAUGUCCUCGUGGGCGUCACCUGACCAGGUCUCCUUCGUGGGUCCGGUGCCGGGCUGUCUGCUGUGUCCACUGACCCAGGAACCCCAGUCCACACCAUCUUCCUUUCUGCGGCUUGAUUUCAUGGGGUUCCUCCAGCACUGUUCUUUCCAAAACCAUCUGGGCUAUUCGGUAUCUUUGGCCUUCCACGAAAUAUCAAGAACCAGCCUGUUGAUUUCUACCGAAGUUCCUGUUGGGGUCAAGGCUAGGGUGGCCCUGAGGUGACAGCACUGUGGAGAGAAUCGCCACCUUGGCAUUGCUGAGUUUUCCAGCCCACGAGCAGGUGUAUCUGUCCCUCCACUGACUCAGUCUUGUCUGAUUUCCCCCUCCUCAGCGUUUUGAGUUUUCCGUCUCCAGGUCUUGCACGUGUUUUGUUAGGUUUAUACCAAAGUGUCUCAUGUUUUCUGGUGCUGUUGGAAAUGGUACUUUAAAGCUUUUUCAAAUUACAGGGUUUUUUCCAAAUUGCAGGAGUUCCCACUGUGGCACAGGGGAAUGAGCGGCGUCCCUGGAGCACUGGGACGCAGGUUCAAUCCCUGGCCUGGCACAGUGGGCUAAGGAUCCGGCGUUGCCACGUCUGUGGCAGCUUGGAUCUGAGCCCUGGCCUGGGAACUCCAUAUGCCAUGGGGCAGCCAAAAAAGAGGGAAAAAAGAGUUCAGAUUCCAGUUGCUGAUUCUUAGGGUACGGAAAUACAGUUAACUUUUGUACCUUGGCUUUGUUUCUGCGAUUUUGCUAAACUCAUUCAUUUAUCAGUCUUUAUAACGUUUGACAGUCCGCUGUGUGAAGCGGUUUCGUGGUGUUCUGUGGAUUUGUGUUGCUGGUUUACACAUGGAGGACUGAGCGCGCGUGCAGUGCAUGUGUGUGUGUGUACGUGUGUGUGUGUGUGUGUGUGUGUGUGUGUUGGCAGUUCCCCUUGGGAGGUUGCCUAUUCCUCUCUUGCACUGAUUUGUCUGUUGGGCUUUUUUCUUAUUUUUUAGCCAUUUUCAGGAUCCCCUUGUACGUUGGGGUUAUGCCCUUGCCUGUAACAUGUUACCUCUGGUCUACUGUUUGCCUUUGCACGUUUUGAAUGGUCUCUUUCCACUAGAAUGUGUUUGGUCUUUAGUUGUGUAUCAGUCUUUUCCUCUGUGGCUCCCGGGUCUCCUAUACUGUAGAGAAGGUCCCCUGGCUUGAAGCGGCACAAACCGAUUCCUGAGUGUUUCAGUUGUCUGCACAUACUUAGAUCUUAAAUCCACCUGGUGUUCAUUUGGGGUCCUGGUGGGAAGAGGGGUCCAUCCCCUUUCUCUCCGCUGGGGACAAGCUGUGCCGGCAGCGCUUGUCUCAUCACCCGUGCUUCUCACUCAACCAAACGGCCAGUCGGUCACGUGGAUGGGGGCGAGGACGCCGUCCCUGUCCUGAGACUCUGCUGUGACAGUCAUUGCAACAGGCUCGCCCCAGCGGAGAGCGUCUGGUCCCUGUCACUCUGGGCUCUGUUUUAGACCUGGUGGGCUAGGCCUCCCACCACCACCCUGACUUAACACGAAGAUUCCUGCCUGUCUAUCAUGUAUGUGUUUUUUUGUCUUUUUUGGGUGGGGGGGUGCACACCCGCGGCAUAUGGAGGUUCUCAGGCUAGGGGUCAAAUCAGAGCCGCAGCUGCCAGCCUACACCACAGCCACAGCAACACUGGAUCUGAGCCUUGUCUGCAGCCAUACACCACAGCUCACAGCAAUGCCAGAUCCUUAACUCACUGGGCGAGACCCAUAUCCUUGUGGUUACUAGUCGGGUCCAUUACUACUGAGCCACAGUGGGAACUCCAAUCCUUUUAUGAUUUUAUAUUUUUUAUGAUUUCAUAUCACCUUUACCUGAGGCACAGCUUACAUGCACACGUGAACUUACCUUAAAGCCCAGAGCACACGUACACAGCCACUACCCAUGGAGACGGAGAGUGAGCUUCCACCCUGCAGAGCCCAUCUCCCACCAAACCCAGCCCUCAGCCCCAGGCCUCGCACCCUUCACGCCACCGUCUCAGGAAACCACGCCACGUUGUUCCCAGCGAGGGACUUAACCUUGGUGCAAUACAGUUAACGUUAACCAAACCACACACCCUAAGCCGAGUUCGCAGGUGUUUUGGCUGCUGUCCCUUUUCUGCUGCAGGACCCUGGGCUGCGCUGGUCCCCGUGUCCCUCACCUGCUCCUGUCUCUCGCGGUCUCUGUGCUUCCCUGCGUGCCUGCUGUUCUUUUACAGACCUUAGCUCAUUCCAACCUGCUGCCGAAGCCCCCAGGUUCCCUUUUCCCCGGGGGGUGUCGCCGGUGCAGCCAGUUGUGGUGGGAGGCGGCUCUGGCCCCCUCCCACCCAGGCCCCCGCCCUGCGCACCCAGGUCAAGCACAGGCAGCUGCUGAAGCAGCAGGAGAAGAUGAUCCGGGACAUGGAGCUGGCCGUCGCCCGCAGAGAAACCAUCUCCACCCGGGCCGAGGGGCAGGGCAAGCUGGACAAGAGGCUGCUCACCCGGACGGACUUCCACCACCAGCAGGCGGAGCUGCGCCGGAAGGUCAGGGACAUUCACAAGGCCACCGAGGAGUGCACCAAAACCAUCCUGGAACUGGAAGAAACUCAGAGAUCCCUGAGCGAGUCCCUCGUGGAGAAGCAGGAGCAGCUGUCAAAGAUGCAGUCCAAGGCCGACGAGCUCGAAGCCGACCUGGACCGGCUGGCGGCCCUCAAGCGGCAGAACCUUUCCACCCUCGUGGCCCUGCAAACGCGCCUCAAGCACCUGCAGGCCGUGAAGGACGGGCGGUACGUCUUCCUGCUCCGCAACAAGCAGUCGCUGCUGUCGGAGCUCAAGCGUCUGGAGGACCGGCUGGGCAGCAUCAACAACAUCCUCCACCACGUGAAGGAGGAGUACCCGCAGUUCCAGGGGGCCCUGCUCAAGGUCAGCCAGUCCAUCACCAACGGGCUGGGGUCCCCUGGGCCCUAGAGAGCGCCUGGACACCCCUCUUCCAGGCGGGCCCCCAAGGAAGGGAUCAGUUUUGUGCAUUGUCGGGGACUUUGAAUACGUUUGUCUGUCCCUGCUUUACUGAAAGUCACCGCUGCCCUCAGAGAAUGACGCCACUUAAAAAAAUACGCCAGCGCUGUAGGAAUUGUUUGUUUAGCCACCCCGCUGUAUAAAUCAGGUCAAAUCCCAACGUUUCCAGUUCCAUUUUCCACAAGUAUUCCAUUUGCAAAGCAGACCCCCGUGCCCUCGCUGGGCUUACUCGUCCAAGGAAAACGGGAAACCAGGUCUCUGUUCCCGCCCCACUCCCAGCUUGGGUUAAAUCCAGAUGCCCAGCUCACCGGAGCAAGUCCGGAGGACGUGAAGCCCUAGCGGAAUCUGCAGGGCCUGACGUCUGCGAUUAGACCGUGCAGGUGCAGGAACACAGACCUCCUUGUCUGUGUCGGGUCCCCACCACCCUGGUCCACCCCGGGCUCCUCCUCCCACGCUCCGACUCCUGAACCCCUGCUGCCUAUGGCUUCUUCGAGGGCUUAAGGGGAAAGGUAAUCUUACAAAGUAAUUUUAAACUUUUCAGCAGGAAAAUAAAGUUUUUUUCUGA